UGGGGAAUCUUGCACAAUGGGCGAAAGCCUGAUGCAGCAACGCCGCGUGCGGGAAGACAGCCCUAGGGUUGUAAACCGCUUUCAGCAGGGAAGAAACUGACGGUACCUGCAGAAGAAGAUGCGGCCAACUACGUGCCAGCAGCCGCGGUGACACGUAGGCAUCAAGCGUUAUCCGGAUUUAUUGGGCGUAAAGAGCUCGUAGGCGGUUCGGUAAGUCGGGUGUGAAACUCUGGGCUCAACCCAGAGAGGCCACUCGAUACUGCUGUGACUAGAGUGCGGUAGGGGAGCGGGGAAUUCCUGGUGUAGCGGUGAAAUGCGCAGAUAUCAGGAGGAACACCAGUGGCGAAGGCGCCGCUCUGGGCCGUAACUGACGCUGAGGAGCGAAAGCAUGGGUAGCAAACAGGAUUAGAUACCCUGGUAGUCCAUGCCGUAAACGUUGGGCACUAGGUGUGGGUCUCAACCGAACGAGAUCCGCGCCGUCGCUAACGCAUUAAGUGCCCGCCUGGGAGUACGGUCGCAAGACUAAAA
rnacentral:rRNA from 1 species